rnacentral:rRNA from 1 species
CAGCCGCCGCGGUAAUACGAAGGGUGCAAGCGUUAAUCGGAAUUACUGGGCGUAAAGCGUGCGUAGGCGGUUUGUUAAGUCUGCUGUGAAAUCCCCGGGCUCAACCUGGGAAUGGCAGUGGAUACUGGCAAGCUAGAGUGUGUCAGAGGAUGGUGGAAUUCCCGGUGUAGCGGUGAAAUGCGUAGAGAUCGGGAGGAACAUCAGUGGCGAAGGCGGCCAUCUGGGACAACACUGACGCUGAGGCACGAAAGCGUGGGGAGCAAAUGGGAUUAGAUACCCCAGUAGUCCCUGUCUCUUAUAC